GAUGAACGCUGGCGGCGUGCCUAAUACAUGCAAGUCGAGCGAACAGACGAGGAUCUUGCUCCUCUGACGUUAGCGGCGGACGGGUGAGUAACACGUGUAUAACCUACCUAUAUUACUGGGAUAACUACGGGAAACCGGCUCUAAUACCGUAUAAUAUAUUGAACCGUGUGGGUCAUUAGUGAAAGACGGUUUUGCUGUCACUACUCGAGGCAUCCGGGCCGGAUUAGGUAGUUGUUAAGGUAACGGGUUACCAAGGCAACGAUGCGUAGCCGACCUGAGAGGGUGAUCGGCCACACUGGAACGGAGACACGGUCCAGACUCCUACGAGAGGGCGCAGUAGGGAAUCUUACGCAAUGGGCGAAAGCCUGACGGAGCAACGCCGAGUGAGUGACGAAGGUCUUCGGAUCGUAAAAAUCUGUUACUAGGGAAGAACAAAUGUGUAAGUAAAUAUGCACGUCUUGACGGUACCUAAUAAGAAAGCAACGGCUAACUACGUG
rnacentral:rRNA from 1 species